GAACUUGCGUUCUGCAUCAGGUGUUGAACUUGGGUUGUUCUUGUCUCCACCAACGGCUAAGCCUGACAGUGUUCUACCAUGUUUGGAGGAAGCAGGAUGCAGUGAGGCUGAGUGGAGAAAGAGAAAUACCCUACGGAAUGCUUAGGCACA